UACGGGGGGGGCAAGCGUUGUUCGGAAUUACUGGGCGUAAAGGGCUUGUAGGUGGCCAACUAAGUCAGACGUGAAAUCCCUCAGCUUAACUGGGGAACUGCGUCUGAUACUGGAUGGCUUGAGUUUGGGAGAGGGACGCGGAAUUCCGAGGUGUAGCGGUGAAAUCGCGUAGAUAUCUGGAGGAACACCGGUGGCGAAGGCGGCGUCCUGGACCAACACUGACACUGAAAAGCGAAAGCCAGGGGAGCAAACGGG
rnacentral:rRNA from 1 species